GACGAACGCUGGCGGCGUGCUUAACACAUGCAAGUCGAGCGGUAAGGCCCUUUCGGGGGUACACGAGCGGCGGACGGGUGAGUAACACGUGGGUGACCUGCCCUCAGCUCUGGGAUAAGCCUGGGAAACCGGGUCUAAUACUGGAUAUGACUCCAUGACGCAUGUUGUGGGGUGGAAAGCCUUGUGCGGCUGAGGAUGGGCCCGCGGCCUAUCAGCUUGUUGGUGGGUGAUGGCCUACCAAGGCGACGACGGGUAGCCGGCCUGAGAGGGCGACCGGCCACACUGGGACUGAGACACGGCCCAGACUCUACGGGAGGCAGCAGUGGGGAAUCUUGCGCAAUGGGCGAAAGCCUGACGCAGCGACGCCGCGUGAGGGAUGACG
rnacentral:rRNA from 1 species